ensembl:lncRNA
CUUUCUGAGCAGCCUGUUCCAGCGCCCUCUUGUGUUAGCAUGGAAUUCUGUGUGUUCCAGUUUCAGCCUGUUGCUUCUUAUUCUAUUGCUACACACCACAGAAAAGAGACCGCCCCCAUUGACUUGGCUCCUGCAGUUUAGAAUCUUAUAAGCACUUAUGAGAUCCAUUCUCAGCCUUCUCUUCUCCAGACUGAAGAGUCUCAAGUCUCUCAGUCUUUCCUAGUAUGGCAGAUGCUCAAGGCCCUUAAUCAUCUUUGUCACCCUCCACCAGACUCCUUCCAGAAGAUCCCUGUAUUUUUGAACUGAGGAGCCCAGAUGUGGGCACAAUACUCCAGAUGUGGCCUCUCCCGGGCAGAGUAAAUGGGGAAGAUCACCUUCCUCGACCUGCUGCCCAAGUUGUUUUUGGUGAACGCCAGGAUACCACUGGCCUUCUUGGCCACAGGGGCACACUGCUGGCUCAUGGGCAAUCUGUUGUCCACCAGGAUGCCCUCAUCCUUCUCUACAGAGAACUUGUUCUGAUACAUGUGAUUAUUCCUCCCCACGUGCAAGAUUCUAAACUCCCUCCCUUACUUCCAGAUAUGAAAAGAGUAGUGGGGAGUGAUAAAAUAUACCUGUUUUAAAAUAACAUUUUCAAAAAACUAGCUUUUCAGCUUCUAAAUUCUCUCAAGAUAUUUUCAAAAUAAAAGCAACUUUUUGUGCCAAAUUUUGUAACAGUGUUGUUCUAUUUUCUUGUUCACUUACUUCAGUUGAAGAUGACAAGCUCACUUUGACAGGGUUUUAAUUAGUUUCCAUAUGUGAUCUGAUUAUACUGUGUGGCUUUGAGAUUUUCUUUGUGCAUGGAAAAAGAAGCAAUUUAAGCUAUUUCAGUCAUUCACCUGCAUCAGUCUCAGCAUUCUGAAGACCGAUGGAGUUGUGGUUUUUUUUUUUUUUUUUUUUUUUUUUUUUUUUUUUUUUUUUUUUUUAGUUUUAGUUUUGUAUGUGUAGGGGGUUGGUAGAAAUAUAUAAAUAUGUAGUUAGAUAUAUUUAACAACAAAAUAUGCAUACAUAUAUCAAGCAACAAUGCUAUAUAUAUGUAUGUGGCAUAUGUAUCUAUAUAUAUGCACAAGUAUAAUAGAUAUCUAAAGCUUGUAGUGUUUUUCAGUUGUUAUAUAUUCUUAUAUGUACAUAUGAAUAUUGUUGCUGUCAUUCUAGAUUUUUUGGAUAGACUUAUUUUCUGAGAAAUUGUGUUAGAAGAAGAAACAAAGAUAGACAGGAGGUCAACUGAAGGAUUUUCAGCUGUUAAACUCAAUUAUAAACAAUGACUGAAAUGAAUUUAAAAAUGUCUUUCCUGAAGGGUAAAUGUACUCUGUUCUCCAAUAUCUGACAUGACAGUGCUUAAAGGCUCUUCCUGGGAUGAGCUGAGUUCUGUUUAUUAUUUUAUCUGUUCAAGGGGGAUUGGAACCUAUUGUUUUGUUUGCCUGUUUGUUUUUGCAUCAGUUCCCUUUAGUUUUCAUGUGUGCGUUAAAAAUCCACUGUUAAGUAUAUAAUAAUUUGCUGUAUUCCCAAGAUGAACUGUUUAGCGGACAGGAACAAUUAAUUUACAACACAAAAUGUAUAAAAAGUGUUGGGUUUUUUUUUUUUCAAAGUUGCAACAAUUUAAAGCAGCAAAAUAAAAUGUCAGAGGACAACUUAAUAUAAAAUACAAGGGAAAAAACCCAACACCUAUUCUUAUGGAGAAAUGAUAGAUUACUUUAAAAAAAAAAAAAUCCAUAACAUUCAAAUAAAAGUUGUUUUCCUUUUCAGGUUAUUUAUCUGAUUUGGAAUCUGGAUGCUGACAUAUUCCCAAUUAUAUAAUUAUCUGCUCUGCACAGUCUCUAGGUUAGCAGACUGCUACAGACUAUCUGUAAUAUUUUUUUUUUUUUAAUAUUCAGAGUAAAAAUAUUUACAUCUCUCUGCUGAAUCCAUAUUUUUUUUUAAUUACUUCUAAAAUAGUAUUCACUAACAAAUAAAUGUUGGCAUUUAUUGUUGUAUUUUUUUUUUUUAAUAUGUUCCCCUCUCUCAAGAAUCUUCCACUUGAAAGAAAUAAUUUUAAAAUUUAGAAUGUGAUACAGAAAAGCCUUUGGACACUUAAAUUUGCCACAAAUCAAACUGACCUAUUAGUAUGUUCAAGCUUUUGAUCUUAGAAGCCCUUAUGUAACAGAACUGGAAAAUGCAAAACCACUUAUUUCCGUACUAAGUCCUGCAAGUUGUAUAUGACCAAAAAUCAUCUUCUAGAAACUUGAUUGUGACUUGAUAACUUCAGAUAAUGGUAUGUUCAUCACUAAUAUGUUCUGCAUAGAGGUAAUUUUUGAUGUAUGAGAUUGUAAUACAUUAGAAACAACAACAAAAAUAAUUUUAUCUGUUAGAAAAUCUUUUCCUAAACUGAAGCCUUACACAUGGAUGUCAUUUCAUGGAUGGUCAACACGUAUAAAUACUUGAAAAGAAAAUAUAAAUAAUAUGGAGUCAGGCUCCAGUGUUGCCCACUGCCAGGACAAGAUGCAGUGGUCACAAAAUGAAACCAAGGAGGCCCCAUCUGUGCAUCAGAAAGCAAGCACUUCUGUGCUGUGCAGGUGAUGAAACUGUGGAACAAGUUGACCAGAAAGAAUAUGCAAUCUCCUUCCUUGUUAUCUUCAAAAGUUGCUGGAAAGUGAUUCUGGGCAAAGUACUCUGGAUGUCCAUGCUGGAGCAGAUGACUUCCAGAGGUCCUUUCCAACCUUAACACUUCUGUGAUUCUAAUCAGUCACUGAGGGAUCUACAUCUUGUCUGCAUUCAGCUACUAUCUUGUUCCUGUGAAUGACAAAAGUUAAAGUGGUAAAGAGCAAAAGAGAUCUUAAACUACAGUGAGUUAAAUAGGAAAAUAACUGGAUAAGUUGCACUGAAAGAAAUACCUCCUAAAUAUUUCCAAAUUACUAUAGAUACAAAGAGCACAAUAACACUACUUGAUAGAGCAAAUUCUCAGCUACAAAGCUCCAUUUUUCAGUAUCAUCACCACCAUUAUCUAUGCCAGCUAUGAACCAGAGCGUGCAUGCCACACUCAUAAAAAUCUGCAACAGUGGAGGUGACUUAGUGGAUGUGACUUACUGCCGUUGUCACUACUGCUGAAAGGCACCACCCAUCACUUCACUGUGCUCACAUCCACUGUUUGUUCUCAAUAAAUGUACAACAAGCAUUAAUGAUACCACCAAGGUCUCCCACUGAUGUCAUGGACCAACAGGAUAAAAUAGCAGCAAAUCUUGUGUAUAAGACAGAAUUAACCACACUGAUAGGAUGACAACUGAAGAAGAGUGCUAAUGUAACAUGAAACAUUUUCAGUAGUACUUUAAUGCUCCGAAGACUGUAAAUGAAACUUUAGAAUUUUUGGUGAUCUAGUUUAUGAAUUUGACUUUCUCAGGUUUGAUGUGUUAUUUAAAGUUGUUAGAAACAGAUCAAAUAAAUGUUUAAUAUACGUAU